AUUGAACGCUGGCGGCAUGCCUUACACAUGCAAGUCGAACGGUAACAGGAAACAGCUUGCUGUUUCGCUGACGAGUGGCGGACGGGUGAGUAAUGUCUGGGAAACUGCCUGAUGGAGGGGGAUAACUACUGGAAACGGUAGCUAAUACCGCAUAACGUCGCAAGACCAAAGAGGGGGACCCUCGGGCCUCUUGCCAUCGGAUGUGCCCAGAUGGGAUUAGCUUGUUGGUGGGGUAACGGCUCACCAAGGCGACGAUCCCUAGCUGGUCUGAGAGGAUGACCAGCCACACUGGAACUGAGACACGGUCCAGACUCCUACGGGAGGCAGCAGUGGGGAAUAUUGCACAAUGGGCGCAAGCCUGAUGCAGCCAUGCCGCGUGUAUG
rnacentral:rRNA from 1 species